rnacentral:tRNA from 1 species
GCCAGCAUGGCAUAGUGGUUUGAGCAUUGGACUAUGACUCUAGAGACCAGGGUUCAAAUCUUUGCUUGGCC